rnacentral:lncRNA from 1 species
GCACAACCUUUCAGUCAUAUAUACAAAGCUACAAGAAAUGAACAAAGCCACUGUGACCUGUGGGAAAAUGUCAAGUGGUCUAAGAUACAUAUAAUUGGCAUUUAGGAUAUAUGAGACAGAUCUCUGGUGAAUCUUUCCUGGGCAUUUUUCUGCUAAAGCUUUGGCUAACUUUCUCAAAGCACUCUCAUAAUAAGCAGAUGUUAUCGU